GAUGAACGCUGGCGGCGUGCUUAACACAUGCAAGUCGAACGGGAAACCUUUUAUUGAAGCUUCGGCAGAUUUAGCUGGUUUCUAGUGGCGGACGGGUGAGUAACGCGUGGGUAACCUGCCUUAUACAGGGGGAUAACAACCAGAAAUGGUUGCUAAUACCGCAUAAGCGCACAGGACCGCAUGGUCCGGUGUGAAAAACUCCGGUGGUAUAAGAUGGACCCGCGUUGGAUUAGCUAGUUGGCAGGGUAACGGCCUACCAAGGCGACGAUCCAUAGCCGGCCUGAGAGGGUGAACGGCCACAUUGGGACUGAGACACGGCCCAGACUCCUACGGGAGGCAGCAGUGGGGAAUAUUGCACAAUGGGGGAAACCCUGAUGCAGCGGCGCCGCGUGAAGGAAGAAGUAUCUCGGUAUGUAAACUUCUAUCAGCAGGGAAGAUAGUGACGGUACCUGACUAAGAAGCCCCGGCUAACUACGUG
rnacentral:rRNA from 1 species